rnacentral:lncRNA from 1 species
UCCUGUUGUAACGCAAGCAAGACUGUUUAGUUCACGUCUCCCCCAAACAUACAAGGAAAGAAAAAGUAAUAUGUGGAAUCACUUGAGGGCCGGGUCAGCGCUGAAGUUUCCACAAGUAUAUUUUCACAGGAGAGCACAAGAUCCAUAUGACCGUCUAUUUUCUGCCAACACAGCAACAUGAAAAUCCAUCAUCUGCAACUCAUGAUCGCCCUGGAAUCGGAAAAUCAAUUCUCUAAAAGACCCCUCCUUAAUCCCGUUUUUCGCUGGCCACAAAGGCCACUUGUGUGCGACCCCGCUGGACUAUGGACUGGGAUGAUGUGGAUGUCUGCUUGGAUUCCAAGCCUUUCAGAGAGUCCGUGGAUCAAAACCUCCGUUUGACUGCUGGGAAAACAGAAGCCAAACAUCCAAACAGCUACCAACAAACCCCCAGGCCCUCGUGGUGCAUCUUGUUCAUGUUUCAGGUAGAAUUUUAGAUGUCCUCGUGCCUGUUUGCUUCAUGUUGGAUGAGAGCGUUCUCCACCUGUCACGUACGGCCUUUGGACAGGCCCUGACAUCUGCUGAUCUUUAUAUUGAAUUCAUACAUCAAAACAUGCUCCGGCUCUGCGACCGCUCAACUUCAUCAGUCGGCUUUGAUGGAGCAUUUCUAGCGUUCUCUAAAGACUAAGAGCUGGCAAAAAAAACAUCAUCACAGCACCGAUCUCCCCUAAUUACAGUCAGUUAUAUCUUUAAAAGAAAAAGCAAAAUAAACCUGAUCAAGAAGACAAAGGAGUAAGUCUGUGGAGGAGGUUUCAUUACCCUUCCCUCUCUUUACCUUUCUCUGUGUUUUUCACUGAAAGGGAACAAAGACGGAACCCUACCGAUUGAAAACUAGCAGAACAGUGAAACAACAGGACACAACUGAUCACUCAUGCAUGGUUGGGAUUAGGAUAAAAGUAUAAAGAGUGUGGAGAAGAAAGAGCACAACAAAAGGAACAGGGGACUGACUAACUUUUUUCUCUUUCUUUUGAGGUGAAAGGAAUCAAAAAAAGGAAGGUCUGGCCAUAUGAAAAGAUAGAGAAAGAAAGAUUAACAAAUAGAAGCAGUCCUUUUUAGCCUCGGUACGCUUCCACUUCUAUUUCUUUUAACCAUGAACAUGAAAGGCGGGACUGAGGUUGUUGCUACCAGAACUCUUCAUCUCAAGACAUCAUUUUUAACUUUAGAGACUUGCAUUGGUGCAGAGCAACCUCCAUGGGAAUUUUGUCAUGGCACAAGCACCGUUUAUUGUGAUUCCGGUUGACCAACUGGCUUGUGAAGUCUGAAGAAUGACACACCAGCUAACAAGACAGCCAUCCUUUCAGCCCCCGCCUGUACUAAGUGGAAAUAAUCCAGAAAUACUUUGCACAUCUAGUCUGCCUUGGCCUUCAUCCAAAUUGCACUCUAUUCUUUUUAAUCUCCCUUAAUAAAAAGAGGGGAUAAGAGAGAGAUU